rfam:Oryza sativa Japonica Group DNA, chromosome 3, cultivar: Nipponbare, complete sequence.
UUUAAGUGCAACCAUAAGUUUUUAUUUGAAAUUUUUUUUAUGAUUAGUAUUUUUAUUGUUAUUAGAUGAUAAAACAUGAAUAUCACUUUAUAUGUGUGACUUAUAUUUUUUUUAAAAAAAAUUCAAAUAAGACAGACAAUCAAAAUUAGGCAUGAAAAAUUAUGGUUACACUUAAA